rnacentral:rRNA from 1 species
UACAGAGGGGGCAAGCGUUAUUCGGAAUUAUUGGGCGUAAAGGGCGCGUAGGCGGCUUUGCAAGUGACGGGUGAAAGCCCUCGGCUUAACCGAGGAACUGCCUGUCAGACUGUGAGGCUUGAGACCGGGAGAGGUGAGUGGAAUUCCCAGUGUAGCGGUGAAAUGCGUAGAUAUUGGGAGAAACACCAGUGGCGAAGGCGGCUCACUGGACCGGAACUGACGCUGAGGCGCGAAAGCGUGGGGAGCAAACAGG